rnacentral:rRNA from 1 species
UACGAAGGGGGGCUAGCGUUGCUCGGAAUUACUGGGCGUAAAGGGCGCGUAGGCGGGUCGUUAAGUUAGAGGUGAAAAGCCCAGGGCUCAACCCUGGAAUUGCCUUUGAUACUGGCGGCCUUGAGUAUGGCAGAGGUGUGUGGAACUCCGAGUGUAGAGGUGAAAUUCGUAGAUAUUCGGAAGAACACCAGUGGCGAAGGCGACACACUGGGCCAUUACUGACGCUGAGGCGCGAAAGCGUGGGGAGCAAACAGG